UCAAACACAAGUAGUACCACAGAAGGGACCUUUCCUCUGUUGGCUAUACACAUUUCCUACAGAUUCUACAAAUCCUUUCCGUGUGCGUCGUUAAGUGAGGUUUAUGACUUACAACACCACAUCCUUUCUGGUGAAAGUACAACCGAGAGUCGAGCGUGAUCAGAGAGAGUAUAAUCUUCGGGCCAUAUUCCCUUCUCCGCCUCACGGGGAUAUAGAACUGCAUUCUUCACAUUGAAUCCCAGGGAGUCCUGCAUGCCUCGUUUGGACUCCUCUCUACUACCGUUGAGACUUUCCUUAUCCUCUGACGCUGUUGAACUCCAAAUUCUAUUCUGCAAUGCCAAGGGUUUUAGACACGUGAUUUUAAUCUUGUAGUACUUUGGAAGGACUAUUACAUGACGGCAAUGCUAAUGUAAUUCAAAAGGAAAAUAAAUGAAAUUAUUAUGGAUGUAAUGUACCUUAAAUUCUUCGUAAUCAAGAACACCAUUUGCAUCGGCGUCUGCCUGGAUCCAGAGAUCCCUUGUCUCCUGGAAACCUAGUCCCGCAGGAUGACCAAUUAAAUUAACCUGCAAUAUACCUACAUGAGCAAGUCUUAUCUUUCCAUUUGAACUUUAUACAGCUUAAUAGCUAAUAGAACCAACCUGUUGUAGUGCUUCACAGAAAGCUGAGGACGUAAUAAAAUCACCAUGACUAUCACCCUUCAGAAAGGCAAAUGCAUCAUUUUCAGCCAUCGAAGCUUUUCGAAGCUGGCGCUGAAAACCCCAAAAGGAAAAAGGAAGUUAAAUGAUUGCAUGUAGAAACUGUCUAGAGCUUGCAUGCCCUAUAAUAUAAAGGAUCCAAGCAUCUUUUCAAAAGUUUUGAACAAAGCUUUCUGUGCACAAUAUAUCUGAUGAACUACGAUUCUUGCCCUCUGUGGCAAGGUAUCAGAUAGUAGGUAGAGAAAAUGUGAACGGAUGAGUAUUAAUGACAAUAAUAUAGAAUAUGUAAACCGAAUUGCUUACCCGUAAUAUUCAAAAACAGCUUCGCACCAACUAGUCUUUAGUGGUUUUCGUGACUUAUUGACGGCAACGAAAUGCAGCUGCCGCUGUAGCUUCUUGAAAGACUCUCACUUUCUCUGCGAUUAAUCUUUGCCACAUUAGAACCCGCACUUAAACCCUGCAACGACUCAAAAUUUUCAGUAUCCAUUAUCCAAUAAACGAUUUCCUAAGUACCCAUUUUCUCAGAAACCAAAUUCAUGGAAGAAAAGCAGAAGCAAUUGAGAGAAAGAAGAAAGAGACACUAUUUGUUAUAAGUUGAAAUUUUUCGUUGCAGAAAAAUAUAUACCCCACCGGGUGGCCGGGAACUCAUGACACUUACGUUGGGGGGCUUGUGCAUCACAUUUAAUGUGACAAAAAUGUAAAUAUUCAUAUGCUUAUAAAUAUCUUGGCCCACAAAUUGAGGCGUAAUCUUUUUAAGUAUCAAUUUUGAAUGGUAAUGCAGGUCUCCUUCAAACCAUUUUUGACCAAGCAAAAUUUUUGAGGCUGGUUGUGUGGGCUUUAAAGUUACGUAAUACAACCUUUGAACUAGGCUUGUAAACGGGUUGAGUUUAUCAGGUUUGGGUCGAGUUCAAUCUGACCCGUUAAGUUAACAGGUCAUCCAAACUCGACCCAUUAAGCUAAUGGAUCACCCGUUAACAAUUAUUAUUAUUAUUAUUUUACAUAGAGUUUAUUUUUUGUUGUUAAGAUUUUACUGAAAUUAUUAAAAUAUCCUCAACUAACGGGUUGACCCAAAGUGAUCCGUUAGUUAACGGGUUCACCUGUUAGCAACCCGACCCGUCAAGCAUCCACCCAAAUACUAAUAUUAACGGGUCGGGUACAAAAUGCCAGGUCUGCUGUGAACAAGACCCAUACAUUUUGCAUAUUCCGUUUAAAUAUUACGUAACACAACUUUAGAACAACAUUGGGGUGGUGGCGCAGUUGGCUUGCGCGUAGGUCUCAUAGCUUCUGGUGAUCCUGAGGGCGAGAGUUCAAGCCUUUCUCACCCCCAUUUCUUUUUAUCUUUUGCCAUUAUAGGAAAACAAAAACAUUUUAAAUUUCAACUUCUAACAACACGAACAUAGUCUAGUAUUAUUUAUCUUUCAUAAUUUUAAAUGAUAUCUCAAAAGUUCGAAUUUCCAUAUGAUUUUUUUAACAUCUCAACUUCUAACUUCUAACACUAUCAUGGUCUAACAGUAUUUAUCUUUUACAUUUUAAGAAAAUAUCUCAAGAGUUCGAAUCCCCGCUCCCCAAAUGAUUAAACAAAAAAAAAAUAUAUACCGUACUGAGAUUCCAGUACCAGCCAUAAAUCAUUACAUCUGAUCCGUAGAAACAGAAACAUGUCAAACUCCAUAGGCUAUGCCAAAUGUAAACAUUUCAUCACUGCAGAACAUGGCUGGUACUCCCACAUUUUAUAGCAAUAAGCAACCACUAAGUCUGGCAUUACUUUUUGUGUGACGCUCAUCUAGCACCACUGCCCGUAUAAACCUUCUUCCCAAGCAAAAACAAAGAACAAUAUCGCACCUAGAAGUAGAACCGUGUUGAAAAGGUAUACUGAUGGGGGACCUGUUAAUGGGGGGGAAGUUUCCCCGGAAAUGCAAGAACAGCUCAUCCAAUUGCCGGCGGUGGUUGCAUUGUGUGUCUGCUUCAAACCCUUUUCUGUAUUAUUGCCUUGAACCGCCUCUGCGUCUUUGUUAGAUUCUGUUAUAAAGUUCCUCUUCGGGGGGGAAAUCAACAGCAGCUCGACGCUCUGCAGCUACUUUGGCCUGCAAAAAUAAACCAGAUUAAGUUGUGGAAAUAGCCUCUCCAAAGAAACAUUAUUCAUGUUCUCCGUGCUGCAGUUUGGGUUCUCUCACUCACCUUGCUUUGCUGCUGUUCUAAUUCAUUAGGUUUGCCUAGUGCUAAGAGGGCACUUGUUGGAUAUGUUCUUCUGCGUGUUCUCUCACUGUUAUAGUAUUCGUCGGAGGCUAACUGAAUAGAGUUAAUCUGAAGGCUAACUGCAUCUACAUCCACAGAGGAAGCACUCUUUAAUUUUAAGGCAUUAAUGGGUCUUGAUGCACGUCGCAGCCUGCUUGUUAUUUGGUGUGUACCAGAAUCUUCAUCACUGAUUGAUUGAAGACGAUCAGUCUGAGGUUUAGGUAACACAUUGAUAGAGGAAGCAGCCUGUCCUAAGGUCUGGUUACGAAGCAUAACACCUUCCUCUCUUCCGAAGUGGCUCGAACUAGCUUGUGGCACACCAAGCAUUUGUAAACUCGGGCCCUAAAAAAUAAUAAUAAUCAGAAAAUAUGAGCAAGUUUCCAAAGUUGAGCGAAGUUCUAGCAUUUGACCUGUGGAAACCAUAACACAUUGACAAAAUUUGAUUUUAAGAUUCUAUGGGAGAAAGAUUUUUUACCUGUGCAGCUUGAUGUUGUACUUCUGUGUCUGAGUCACUGCUCACUCCACAAUCCGGUAAAUACACCUUCCUAGGUGACUGUGGCAGAGUGGAGUCGUUAAAGACGUUAUUGUGAGUUAUUUCUUCACUGUAACCCUGAUACGGGUCAUCCCCAAAAAGUCCAUUUACGAACUCUUCCAAAUUUUCAUCCAUUCCAUGGUAAUCAUUAUUACCACGCGUAUUUCCAAGCAUAAGAUCCAAUUCCCUCUGAAAAAUGUCCGGAUUUGGUGGUGGCUGAGUACGUUCCUGCAUAGUGAACAACAAGCAAGCAAAGGUUUUGGAUCUGUUUCUUUUGCUCCGAGUAUAUAUAUAUAUAUAUGAAGAAGUUUUAAUCACCAUUCGUGCUCGACAUUCUCACCUCUUCAACAUGCAUAUUACGUGCUGGUUGCAGUUGAUUUUCAAAGUCAGGUGCAUUGUUGUAAUUACUAGAUUCGCCUUCAUCACCGGUUGCAACAUCCGUGUUCUUACCUGAUUUCUUCUUUACGUAACAGAGAACGAAAUCCCUCUGCAAAUAAGUUGGAAAACCAGUUAUGUAAUGAAGUAGCACCAACAGAAAAUUAAACAAGGUUCCAAACCAAAAGCCACUAAACUUUGCAGAGUUACAGAAGAAGCCAAUUUGGCUAGAAGCCGAAUAGACUUGAGUUUCACAACCAAAACCCCUCCAGCCUCCGGUUUACAACUUGCCUCAUACAAUGCUGCAAAUUGCACAUCAUAUAUCGAUAACAAUAUUAACAAGAACCUGAAAAUAGAAAGAGAAUGAUGACCUGAUUAGCAUUAGGAGUGAUUUGAGGGAUGGAAAACUCAUGCAUGACCCAGUUGGUAAUUGGGGCAUUACGACCGCGACCUUGGCGAAAUGUCAGAAUCCUCUUUUUACCGAUAAUUUUGUUGUCUCGAGCCUUGACUAUUUUUUCCUUCCCGGUGCUCUUCCAGAAGCCUGUGGCCGUCGCCCUUUCAACUUCGUUUCUGCUGUUUUUUUUGUAAAUUGGUCGGUUGUAGAAGUACCAUUCAUCAUCCGACUUUAUCAGUGAAAUCUCUGCAUAAAACACAACAUUUGGAUUAAACCAAUUGCAUACACAUUUUUAGACUCAUUCAAAUGCAAACUAAAAUGUAUCAGUAAAAGUGAAGAGUGUUGAGUGCUGAAAUCUCUGACCUUCGUAAAACGGUCACUCGAGAUAAAAAAAUAGUAACUUUAUGAACUGGGAUUGGUAAUAAGUUACGUUUGGAUUAAACCCAAAUACCAAUGGCAAAUACAGAUUAUCAGACUCAUCGGACUAAGAAAAAUAAUGAAAAUUUAAGACCUGGGGCUUUGCAAAUAAUUACCAGGCAAUUCCCUGGGCUCGUAGUUGCAGAUAUUGAUUUCACGGAUGGCGUCGCUGACGAGGGAAUCCUUUCCCCGGAGCUUCAACUUCAAGUAAUGGCUGAUCAGCUCUUCUUCUGUGGGGUGGAAUCGGUAUCCCACUGGCAGUAACAGGCCUUCUACUUCUACUCUAGUGAAGCGGAUUCCAUUGGAAGCCAUCCUCUUUCAUGAAGGAGAAGGGGAAUGCUGGCUGGGUUUUUGUAGGAUUAAGAAAACAAGAGAAACAGUACGGAAAUUGACUUGGUGUUGAUCAAGUCUUCGUGGUUUUCAGCGGACGCUUUUUGCUUAUGGAAGUAACUAUUAAGCUUCGGCUUCUGCUUUUACAUGGUGCGGUGGGGAAUUUUUGUUGUCGUGACUUUUGGUGGGACCCCGGGGAAUCCUACGUGUGGAACUGUUUGCCGUAUGUAUGGCUGGGUGGGUGUGCUUCCUCGGAGAGGACUGAAAAGCUACAGGGAUCAUGAGAAAAUUUUGUAUCCCCUUUUGUCAAUCCAAGAUUAAAUGAGGGUAGGUGUAGGAUAAAGAGUCGAUAAGGUAGAACGAGAAAGUCUAAUUGAGAAAAUCGGUAGCAUUCUCAUGGAGUUAUUUCCAAUUAAAAUAGAUCUCCAUAUAUUGUCACUGUAGACAUCGAAAUUUCGGUAAAUAAAUGUUGACCGAUAAAUCAAAGUGUCAACGCUCAUGUAUUACAUAAAUUUUACACGUAGCGUGUGACUCAAUGAAAAUUGAAAUGAGUUGGAAAAGUCAUCAAAUAGGACACGUGUCAACACCUGGCAGAAACGACUUAUUUCAUCUGGGAUAUUAUAUUCAAAAUUAGGCAUUGGAAAUUUCUAUAAAUAGAAGGCUAAUUCAUUCAUAAGGGGGACCAAUUCAGAUUACACAUUGAAGCUCUGAAGCUCUGAAACUCCGAAGCUCUCAAGCAUCCAGGUUCCCGAAGAAUCAAGAAAGCCUUCUUCGUUCUUCGUUCAUCGCUCUUUCAAGAUCAAGCCCCGACGGCCCUUGAAGAAAGCACCAUCGUUCAUCAUCCGUUCAUCCAAGAUCAAGCCCUAACGGCCAUUUGGAUCAACAAACGUCGACAAAUCCACACAUCCAACCGUUCUUCAAGAUCAAGCCCAAAAGCCCUUGAAGAUCCGUUCAUCACUGUUCUUCAAAGAUCAAACCCAAACACCCUUGAAGAUCCGCUCAUCACCGUUAUUCAAGAUCAAGCCUCAAACGGCCCUUGAAGAAACAUUCAUCCUCAAGAUCAAGCCCCAACGGCUCCUUGAAGAUCCGCUCAAAUCCAACUUCAAAGAUUAAGCCCACGGCCCUUUGAAGAAACUUCCAACUGUUCAUCCAAGAUCAAGCCUCGACGCCCCUUGGAUCAACAAAAUAUCCACAAAUCAACACCUUACGGAGAUCGAAUCAGAGGAUCAAAUUUGAGAGAGAUUGUAACCCAAAAUCAUCAAAUACAAAUAUUUGUUUGUGCGCGUUGUUCUUGUCUCUUUCGUUUCAGGAAUUUUCCGUGUUCACAAAUUGGCACGCCCAGUGGGACAAUCUCUACCUCUCAUCUCUUCCUCCGUUCAAGGAAUAUAAGUACACUUCCAAAAUCAAUGACAUCAAGGAAGGCUCAAGCUGUUCCCAUAACCGGCGCAAAGAACAAAGGCACCCUCGUCGCAAGUGUGUGUCACGUUGGGUAUCACGACUCGAAGCAUGGCAAAAGCUACUUCUGCCGCCUCUUUCACCUCUGCAUCAACUCUGCCAAGGGAACAAAAACACCCAAGGCACGAGCCUUUGAUCACCUUAGCCUCACUAAGGGCACCAAGGGGGGAAAGCCCAAGGAAAUACUCUGAAUCCAUGCUCUCCGAUGCCGAUUCAAGCGACAGUUCAGCCAUGCAAGUCAUGACCAUUGGAGCAACUUCAAUCGAUGAGCAGCUAGCUCAAAUGAAUGAAGCAAUCGCAAGGCUAACCCGAACUGUGGAAGAAAAAGACUUGCAAAUUGCAGCAUUAGUCAACCGACUGGAGGCGCAGGAUGGCGAUAAACCCGACCCAGAGGAUGAUCCACUAAAGGGAGGAGCUGGCGGAGACGAAGAACCCCCAGUGAAGAAAAUCGAUGGGAAGCCGGAGCCAGACCAAGCAGCGGCACUCAUGGGAUCUCUUUCUAUCCAGCAGCUGCAGGAGAUGAUCACCAACACCAUCAAGGCACAGUACGAAGGGAGCUCACAUACCUCCUUGUUCUACUCGAAACCCUAUUCCAAGAAGAUUGAUGCCCUAAGGAUGCCAAGGGGUUAUCAACCACCAAAGUUCAUGCAGUUUGAUGGAAAAGGAAACCCAAAGCAGCACGUUGCACAUUUCGUCGAAACUUGCAACAACGCGGGGACGGAGGGAGACUACCUCGCCAAGCAGUUUGUGCGCUCGCUGAAAGGAAACGUCUUUGAGUGGUACACAGACCUAGAACCUGAGACCAUCAACAGUUGGGAGCAAUUAGAGCGGGAAUUCCUCAACCGCUUCUAUAGCACCCGCCGCACUGUGAGCAUGCUAGAGCUAACAAGCACAAAGCAGUGGAAGGACGAACCAGUCAUUGACUACAUCAACAGAUGGCGCACUCUAAGCCUCGACUGCAAAGACAGGCUCUCGGAAACCUCUUCAAUCGAGAUGUGCAUCCAAGGCAUGCAAUGGGGUUUGCAAUACAUCCUUCAAGGCAUUAAACCACGGACCUUCGAGGAAUUGGCCACCCGCGCCCAUGACAUGGAGUUGAGCAUCGCUCAUCAUGGGAAGAAGGAACCGAUCGCCGACUACAAGAACGACAAAGUUCUUGAGACAAAGGUGGAGAAGGCUGCAUGGAAACCCACCAAGGAAGCAAUGACGGUCAACACAGCUCCCGUCAAGAUCUCCACACGAGGCAAGGCGAUUCAAACCGAAGCUUUUCGUGAUCAAGAGAUGCGUAGACGUACUUUGAAGGAGCUUUAGGAGAAGACUUAUCCAUUCCCCGACUCUGAUGUGGUUGCCAUGUUAGAAGACUUGCUGGAAAAGAAGGUGAUCGGCUUGCCUGAGUACAGACGGCCAGAAGAGAUGAAUCGCACCGACAGUCCAAGGUACUGUAAAUUCCACCGCUUCAUCAGUCAUCCGACAGAAAAGUGCUUCGUGCUGAAAGAUCUCAUCAUGAAGCUGGCUCAAAAAGGAAUCAUCGAGCUAGAUCUUGACGAUGUGGUGGAGUCAAACUAUACCACCUCCACUUUUGGCUCUUCCGACUCAAAGUUUUCACCUCAACCGCUGGGGGCAUCCUCCAAGACAAGCAAAGUUGAAGGAUGGACUCAAGUCACUCCUAAGAAAUUGCACAAGAAGCAUACGUCUCCUCCACAUGUCCGCCAAUUGGAAAGGGGGCAAAGCAGCUCUUGUCAACCUUCAAAGCAACAUGAACGUGUUGAAGAUGAUGAAAUUUUGACACAUAGAUCGUCCAUCCCCAUCACGAUGCGCAAUUUCUUUCCUGAAGACUUCUUCAAUCACUCGGUCAAGGCUCCUUGUUAUGAAGAUUGCGAGGAACGACUCUCUCAGAUCGCUUGACGAACUAAUGCUCCUUGUUCGCACGAGCCUAAACUGCAUGAACCAAAGCUCCUUGUUCGCACGAGCCUAAACUGCACGAACCAACGCUCCUAGUCUGCACGAGCAUAAAAGGCAACACCAACGCUCCUUGUCUGCAUGAGCAUAAAAGGCAACACCAACGCUCCUUGUCCGCACGAGCUUAAAAGGCGACAACAAUUGCUCCUUGCCUGCAUGAGUUGAAACUGCAAAUGGCACCAAAAAGAAAAUACAAAAAAAUAUCUAUGUAUUUGAACUACGUUUACGACCUAAUCUCUUCUUUGGAGGGGUACAUAGGAGGCUUGAAUAUUCAAAAUUUGAGUUCAGUCACACCAAAAUAAGGAAUAAAGAUUUUAUUAAAAGUUUGAUGCUAUUACAAUUUUCUUUGUACAAAAAAAAAAAAAUAAGAGAGAAAAAGAGAUACAUGUUUUAUGUAUUUACAAAAAAAAAAAAAAUAUGUUUUUGUAUUAAAAAAAAAAUAUAUAUAUAUAUAUAUAUAAAGGGCCUCAAAAGAAGCCCCUGUCCAAAACCAGAUCAAAUUAGGCCCAGCUCCCGUAGCCUACUAUCUGCCAAAAUUCUUCAAAGCUCCCAAGCCACUCCCACCUCCUCACGGGCCCAACUCAGCACUCGGCUCUUCAAACCCAGAAGACAUCAAGAAGGGCAGUCUUGUGGUGGUUCUGGUGCACCCAUACUCCGUCCUUGGCGGCUGCGAAGGCCUGUUGAGAGGAAUAGCAGCUGGGGUGGCAGACAGAGGUGCCCCAAUUGCAGGCUCCGCAGUAGAUCAGAUAGAACAAGUCGUGGAGCAUAGUGGCUCGUGAAGCACCAAAAAACAUACAACGACAUCGGGGAGGAGGAGAGGAGGUUCGAGAUCUUAAGGACAACUUGAAGUUCAUCGACGAGUAUAACGCACUGGACCAUCCGUACAAGGUCGGUCUGAAUGCUUUCGCUGACCUGAUCAACCAGGAGUACCGUGCCAAGUUUUUGGGCACCAGGAGUGACCCUAAGCGCAGGGUCAUGAAAACCAAGAACCCGAGCCUGAGGUACGCUUUUCGCGCCGGCGAGACGUUGCCGGAAUCUGUGGAUUAGAGACUCAAGGGUGCCGUCAAUCCCAUAAAAAAUCAAGGAGGUUGCGGGAGUUGCUGGGCUUUUUCAACAGUGGCAGCAGUGGAGGGCAUAAACCAAAUAGUGACUGAAGAAUUGGUGUCUCUCUCUCAGAGCAAGAGCUCGUCGACUGUGACACGUCCUACAACGCCGGAUGCAAUGGCGGUCUCAUGGACUACGCCUUCGAGUUCAUUAUCCUAAACGGCGGCAUUGACACUGAAUCCGACUACCCUUAUCAAAGCCCAAAGGAAUCAUCACCUCCGGAGCCCAAAUCUAUGAAAAGGAGCAGCCCAAAAAACCCUUCUUUCCCAAAGCUCUCCAUCAGAGCCUCCUCCUCCGACUCCAACCCGGCGAACCCAACUCCUUUGGCCACUUCACUGCCUCCAUCAGACAUCAAAUUGUGGUCGUCUACUGCCGUUUCUUCCAGAGGGUUCGACAUGCCGGUGAGUCUUUGUCUGUUUACACAAUGAAGGAACUACAGAAAUCCAACUGGAAGAGCAUCUGGAUCCAGAUUCGAAACCGCCAAAGCACGGAAUCAAAAGCAAUGGAGAUUUCCCGCAGGAGAACGGGGGGCACUGCAAUUAAUCUUCACUCAUUCCUUCCACCGUCGCUCGACUCGGACGCCAUUGCAGACACCAUAAAGUCCUUUUUUUCCCAACAAUUGCGGAGAAGACGAUCACUUUCCCUGGUUCGGGGUGGAGUGCUCGGAUGGAAAAGUGGUCAUCCUGAAUUUAAGAGAUAUUUUCGUCUUAGUAGAACGUUGGCCCAUGAUUUAGGAUUUCUUGGUUCCAUAUCUCCUGAACUCCACCAAUUGAAGAUGCUUUUGGAAUGCCAGGUAGAUCAGGAUCAACGACUGACAGUUGCCGCUUUCUGAACGAGCAGAUCUAUCAGCUGGAAGCUCAGGAGGCUCAGUCUCUGAUGCCAAACCAAGUGCCUCUUCCUCUGGAGCGUCAACUGCCAAGGUAUCGACUGACAAGUACCAAAAUUCUGCUGUUGUAGCUGGUGUUAUAACUACUACUGCUUCUCUCGGUUGGUCUCCCAAAGCUAGUCGAAAGAAGGAAGAAGUGCAAGACUGAGGUUGUGACUUGGGUUGGUGCUGCAGGAUCCAUGCUUUCCAUCUUCUCCAUCCUCAUCCUCCUUCAAUCCAGAUACAUAAUGUUGCAAGGCCCCUUCCCAUUUUUGUUGCCAAUAAUGUCACUAGUUUUACGCUUGUGCUUGAGUUCAACAAGAGCAAGCUGCAGAACUUGUACUAAAAAAGGGAUGGGUGCUCCAAAUGUUCAGGAAGCUCCACCGCAAAAAAAAAAAAAAAAAAAAAAAAAAAAAAAAAAAAAAAUAUCUCUGCACAUCCGUGGUGGUCCCUGCCAAGCUCAGCCUGCUCUCCGCCAUCACCUUCUCCGACUGCAUUGCGCAAACCUCCAGCGAGUCGAACAUGGUCCAGUAGUAGUGCAGCGCCUUCGUAAACCGGUCCAAAAAGUUGGGUUUUGUUAUGGUCUGCUUCCUGCUCCACUAACCACCCCUCGUACGUCAACAUCACUUCAUCGUCGGUCCUCCAGCUGCCUGACGACUUGCUGUGCUCGGUGGCUGGCCUCAAUGACAGUGCAAGGAUGACAGGCAGUGCAAUGGUGUGCAGCAGGCAGUGCAAUGGUGCAGCGACGGCGGUGCAGCAAGGACAGCAGAACGUGAGCAACCCGGUUCGAUACAUCUUCUUCUUCCUCUCUACCGUCGGUUUGGUUGAAAGUUAUGGCCCUUCUACUAUGCGAUGAAGUGGGAGAAGGCAGCAAUUCUUUUAUAAAGCCACAAGAGGCAAAGUGGAAUACCCGUGCUUUCCACUUUGCUUCUCCGUCGAAGAAUCAUUCUUCUGGGUUCUCAAGAAUAAAAAAUAAAAAAAAUAAAAAAUAAAAAGAAAGAAAAAGAUAAAUAUAUAAAAAGAGUGAUGGUGCAUCUGGCACCAUGUGAAAGAAAAGAAAGAAAAAAAUAUAUAAAAAGAGUGAUGGUGCAUCUGGCACCAUGAGAAAGAAAGAAGAGAAAUAAAAAAAAAUAUAUAUAAAGAGGAAUGGUGCAUCUGGCACCACGUGAAAAAAAAAGAGGGAAUGGUGGAUCACACCAUGUGAAAAAAUAGAGGGAAUGGUGCAUCUGGCACCAAACAAAAAAAAAAAAAAAAAAAAAGAGAGGGAAUGGUGGAUCAGUCCACGUGAAAAUAUAUAUAUAAUAUAUGUAUAUAUACAUAAAAAAUAUAUAAAAAAUAUAAAAAAAAACAAAAACAAAACAAAUGCAUUGAGAGAAAUAAAAUCUAUUUUUAUUUAUUUCUCUGGAAAAAUUACAUAAAAUUGCAUUCUACAAAAAAAAAAAAAAAAAAAUACAAAUGUGCAAGCAGCAAACAUAAGGGGCCUUCAUUGAUCAGAUGGCGCCUUAUCACUCGGUGGAACUCCGGGAAGAAGAGGAGCCGGAGGUUGAUCAUUUGGAACUUCACUACGCGGUACAGCCCCAGAAGACGAAGGCAAAUGUUGUUGGAACAAACCCACAAACCUCUGAUGAUCAAGUAAAAUCUGACCAUCAGAUUCCUGCAUCUGGUCAAUCUUCCUCUUCAUGUUUGUCGCAUAGCUAUGUGCGAGCUUAUGCAACUGUUUAUUCUCCUGCUUGAGCCCUCUAAUCUCCUGUUUGAGACUCAUCACUUCAGCCGCCAAUGAUUCAACUUGACGGGUUCGAGCAAAUAGGCGUUGGGCCAUAUUAGACACAGAACCUGCACACUGCACACUGAGAGCCAGAGAAUCCUUAACAGCCAACUCAUCAGACCGUUUGGAAAGUAGUCUGUUAUCUCUGGGAGUGACAAGGUUCCGGGCCACCACCGCAGCGGUCAUAUCAUUCUUCACCACUGAAUCCCCAACGGUAAGAGGACCAGUGGGAGAUAUGAAGGAUGGGCGCCAUAUGUUAUCUGGAGAAGAAGGGACUGCCUCUUCACCAAGAUUCAAGUCAAAACGACGAUCGGAGGGGCCAGACAUUUUCAAAGGUGUUAAAGAAAGAAGAGAUCGGACAAAUCAAGCUCUUAGAAGUACAAGAGGGGAGUUUUCACAAGCGAAAAUUCAAGUGUGCUUUGAAACGAACUGCAUGCCUCUAUAAAAAAUCAGCACUCGACGGGAUUUCAGAGAUCGAAGAGGCGAGCUCAGAAUUCGAAGAGGCCAUUCAAAAAUCGAAGAGGCAAGCUCAGAAAUCGGAGAAGCAUCUUGCUUUUCCAGACGCGUCGGCACCCGUCACACGCAAACUCAGCUUUGCGAAAAUCACGGGCAAUUUGUCGAAGCGCCGAUCCCAGAUAUCGAAGAGGCGCCAGUCUUUUUCAGCCACGUCAACACCCAUCACACGCAAACUCAGCUUUGCGGAAAUCACGGAUAAUUUGUCGAAGCGCCGAUCCCAGUUAUCGAAGAGGCGCCAGUCUUUUUCAGCCGCGUCAACACCUGUCACAUGCACACUCAGCUUGGCGGAAAUUACGGACAAUUUGUCGAAGAUUUCUGAUAAAGAAGGAAGCACGUGAAGCCAUAUAGAUCAAUCACGCAUUGGUUGCCGACACGAGUGAAAGAAUAGUACCUCUACAGGUAUCAAAGAACUUCCUAUAAUUGUCUACCUUCGCCUUCCAUAACAAGGGAGACAUACAGAGUCUUUCUUCAUCUCCAAAGAUGCUUUCUCAACGAAGCCUCUCGAGUCAUUCAGUGUUCCUUAUUCCUUGGGGUACCUCUGCAAGCCAAUGACUCCAAAGCAAAAUUAUCUCAUAUCACCAGGGUAGAAAGCAAGAGUAUCUCAUAUCAUGUGUUCUCCCUGUCAUUUCCUUUGUCCUUGUUCUUACCUACAAAGACAAGGAUAAAGAAAACAAUAUGCCGGAACUUCCACUCAAACUCGGGUAAGGAACCGACUGCUUGGAACCCUUCCCUGAUUGCCUACCUAGCACUGCUCUCGAGUACUCGUUUCCCACUGCUGUUGUACUUCCAAAGAAGCUACCACAUCUGCCUGAAGAACAGAUAAGGCAAGUGAAAAUGAUACCUUGCAGCAUGUGGAGACAAGGUGCAGAAGGAACAAGCAGAGAAGAAUGCGGUCUGCACAGUCAACUCAGCAGAAGGAGUCCAAACUGAGGAACUCGAGAAGCUGCCACAUCUGCCUGAAGAAACAAGCAGAGAAGAAUGCAGCAUGCACAGUCAACUCAGCAGAAAGAGUCUGAGAUGAAGAACUCGAGAAGAUGCCGCAUCUGCCUGAGACGGUGAACUUGUUUUGACCCUCAAAUUCUUGGGUCGACUUACUAGGCGUUGUGGGCUGCAUGUGCCGAUUCACCACCCUUGAAUCAAAUCCUUAAAGACCAAGUCACCAAUUGGAAGAGGAGCCCAUCAAUCUCGAAGAUCAUACCGUUGACCAAACUACUCAGGUGUGAAUUAGAAAGAUUGAACAAAGCAACAAGUCGUCACCUUCACCUCGUGCCUGCUUGCCGUGUGUUCGAGUCAGCCUUCAAGAAUCAAGCCUCAACGGCCCUUGAAGAAGCUUCCAGCCAAAUUCAAAAUCAAGCCUCGACGGCCCUGGAAGAAAUCACAAGUCCGAUUCAAGAUUAAGUGUCUACCACCCUUGAAUCAAAACCUAGUUCAAGAAUAAGCUGUGGAAAAUCAACAAUUGGAGGAAUCUAGAAAAUCCUUCAACCCAGUUCAAGAUCAAAGUCGUGGAAAGUCAACAAAGCGCAACAAAAUAUGUGCCGAUUCACCCACUACCAAAGCCAAAGAUCAUCUACCACAUGAAGUUCCUUGUGGUUCAAUUUCAACCUUCAAAAUCAAGCCUCGACGGCCCUUGAAGAAAUUUCAAACAACAAUUCAAGAUCAAGCCUCAACGGCCCUUGAAUCGACAUCUACAGUAAGGGACUUCAAAACGCAUCUCCUACAUGUGACAAGCACAUGUAUACGACGCGCCUUGAAGUGGGGGCAUUUGUAGACAUCGAAAUUUCGGUAAAUAAAUGUUGACCGAUAAAUCAAAGUGUCAACGCUCAUGUAUUACAUAAAUUUUACACGUAGCAUGUGACUCAAUGAAAAUUGAAAUGAGUUGGAAAAGUCAUCAAAUAGGACACGUGUCAACACCUGGCAGAAACGACUUAUUUCAUCUGGGAUAUUAUAUUCAAAAUUAGGCAUUGGAAAUUUAUAAAUAGAAGGCUAAUUCAUUCAUAAGGGGGACCAAUUCAGAUUACACAUUGAAGCUCUGAAGCUCUGAAACUCUGAAGCUCUCAAGCAUCCAGGUUCCCGAAGAAUCAAGAAAGCCUUCUUCGUUCUUCGUUCAUUGCUCUUUCAAGAUCAAGCCCCGACGGCCCUUGAAGAAAGCACCAUCGUUCAUCAUCCGUUCAUCCAAGAUCAAGCCCCAACGGCCCUUUGGAUCAACAAACGUCGACAAAUCCACACAUCCAACCGUUCUUCAAGAUCAAGCCCAAAAGCCCUUGAAGAUCCGUUCAUCACUGUUCUUCAAAGAUCAAACCCAAACACCCUUGAAGAUCCGCUCAUCACCGUUAUUCAAGAUCAAGCCUCAAACGGCCCUUGAAGAAACAUUCAUCCUCAAGAUCAAGCCCCAACGGCUCCUUGAAGAUCCGCUCAAAUCCAACUUCAAAGAUUAAGCCCACGGCCCUUUGAAGAAACUUCCAACUGUUCAUCCAAGAUCAAGCCUCGACGCCCCUUGGAUCAACAAAAUAUCCACAAAUCAACACCUUACGGAGAUCGAAUCAGAGGAUCAAAUUUGAGAGAGAUUGUAACCCAAAAUCAUCAAAUACAAAUAUUUGUUUGUGCGCGUUGUUCUUGUCUCUUUCGUUUCAGGAAUUUUCCGUGUUCACAGUCACUUCUCAUAUUUAUUUAUGAAAAUUUUGUGUUUGCUUAAGAAAUACUAGAUACAUAACUUUAGAGAGUAUUUCUUAAGGUAUAAGUUGUUGGAAAUUCUUUGGUUGUAACAUGAGAUUCGUCUCAAUAUAUUUAUCUCACUAAUUACUUAAUUCACUUAAGCAUGGUUACUCUUACUUGCAAUAAUCUUUCUAAUAGUUUAGCUUGAUUUAGUUUAUAGAUUCCAAAACAAAUUGCGAGUCUCAAGAAGUUGUUUUAGGACGGUAGUAAACGAGAGAUUUGUUAAUGUGUGUUUAAAAUACAAAAUGAAUAUAACAUAUCAUUAUACUAUUAGAGAAACACUUGAAAUAGAUUUUGUCUCAUCAAAAGACAUAAGAUGAAUCACUCGUUAAUAAAAAUAACAACGAUUGACGAGGCUACCCUUUGAUUUGAUUGUGUGAGUCCACCGUUUCCUCUCAUCCCAUGUCCCUUGUAAUAAAGGUUUUCUUGUUGAUCAAGUACUUGUUUGAACUUGGAGCAAAUGUUUCCACUUCUUGGGUAGAGAUUAUGACUACCUCAGUUUCUUGUUGAUCAAGUACUUCUUUGAGCAAUGUUCCAUCGACUGGCAGAACCAAUCUAUAAAAGCAUAGAACUUGUAGCUAAUGGGGCCGUAGCUCAUGAUUACUUUGUGACUUCAUCUCUCAUUCCAAUGCUACAACUUACAACCAGGUAAAUAUUGUUUGAUAAACCCCAUGAUCAAAAUUUUGUUCCAAUAGAAUCGCUAAAUGAGCAGACAAUUGUUUACGCAUGAUUCUUUUAGACGCAUUAAAAUAAGAGGUGUGCUAUCCACACCUCAUUUUAUUUCUCAUACCCCUCUUGAUAAUUUCUGUCCUUUGAUCUUCUUUAAUUUAUCCAAUCCGACGGCUGAAAAUUAAAAAUAUGUGUGAGAAGUAAAAUGGGGUGUGUGGAUAUCACACCCCUAAAAUAAUAUAUAAGUUGUUUUAGGCUUAACAUUUGAGACUUGAAAAGCCCACCAAAGGAUGAGAAAAUCAAGACAUAGGGCCUCCAAGCCAGCAAAAGGAAUUUAGAUAAUAGAGUGCCACCACGAGAAAGAAAGACAACUGCCUUCAACAACUGCAUGUAGCCCCGUCUACCAACAAGAAGAGAGGUGCAUAGAACUUAAAGCACUUUCUGACCGCUCAAGCCAGUUGGCAGGCUUGACAAUUUUCUAGCAUGGAGCUUCAUGACAGGUACGUCCAGACGUCAACUUCGAACCAUGUGUUGGCCAUCGACGAGAAAAGAAAUAUAUGAAGAAAUAUAAAUGUUGUCAAGCUUAGCGCUCAGUCCUUAAUUCUCGUCUAGUUUGUUCACAAAAAACAAAAGGACGAGAUAAAAACGGAUGUGUAGAAAUCAUCCCUAAUUACUAAUUUAGCAUGCUUAUCUUCUCAAUUUUAGAUUCUUUUUUAUGUGUACCAACCAUGUAUCUUCUCAAAUUUAGAUUCUGUUUUUAUCUUCUCAAUUUGGAAUGAUUGUGAGCCCACUUGACAGGGCUUGCAAUUGCAAAGCAACAAGAAGUGAGACGAAUCCAUACAAAUCAAUAACUGAUCAUAUAUCAUCAAGUAGGAUCUUGAAAAUCCAGUCGUUUUAGGUAAAAAGCAUUCCACAUUACAGCAACUGGAGACCCACACACAUGAUCCUCCCCCCUCCUUCCUCAAAAGAUAAAAAAUAAUUUGGCCAAGGCUAGUGAGAAACAGUUAAAAGAAUGAAGAAUAUCAACCAGAAAAUACUUUCCAACCCUAUAUUUGCUCUGUUCUUUCUUUUUCUCAAACACAAGUAGUACCACAGAAGGGACCUUUCCUCUGUUGGCUAUACACAUUUCCUACAGAUUCUACAAAUCCUUUCCGUGUGCGUCGUUAAGUGAGGUUUAUGACUUACAACACCACAUCCUUUCUGGUGAAAGUACAACCGAGAGUCGAGCGUGAUCGGAGAGAGUAUAAUCUUCGGGCCAUAUUCCCUUCUCCA
rnacentral:lncRNA from 1 species